rnacentral:rRNA from 1 species
CAGUCGCCGCGGGAAUACGGAGGGAACUAGCGUUGUUCGGAAUUACUGGGCGUAAAGCGCACGUAGGCGGCUUUGUAAGUUAGAGGUGAAAGCCUGGAGCUCAACUCCAGAAUUGCCUUUAAGACUGCAUCGCUUGAAUCCAGGAGAGGUGAGUGGAAUUCCGAGUGUAGAGGUGAAAUUCGUAGAUAUUCGGAAGAACACCAGUGGCGAAGGCGGCUCACUGGACUGGUAUUGACGCUGAGGUGCGAAAGCGUGGGGAGCAAACAGGAUUAGAUACCCGCGUAGUCCCUGUCUCUUAUAC